rnacentral:lncRNA from 1 species
GAGAUGAUGGACCUCACCAUGCCCAUGACCUCCACCGUUGAGCUAUCUGGCUCUUCGGGACUCUCGUCUUCUUCUGAUUCAGCCAGGCAUUAUGCUAGACCCUGACUCUAGCAUGAAGAAAUGGAGGCAGCCUUGCCUUGCAGAACAUCACCAAUAAAAGAAGAGGACCAUGCACCCUCGUGUUCAGUGCUGUGCCGGAGGAGGCUGGCAGGUGGGAUGGCGGCUUUCUCCAGGAAGGGAGUAGAUGCCUGGCCCAGGAUCGAAUCAAAAGCCGUGGCUCACUGCCCGCCGGCGGGCAGUGAGUCAGUGGGUUCCCAAGGCCAAGGAGAGGCCCAGCCCUGGCCCCCCAGGAUGGCAGCCCCACCCAGGGGAGUGUGAGGCCCUUCUAGGCUGACCUCAAAGACACCGCUCUCCCCAGAAUCCAGAGGGACACCUGGAGGGAUAAACAGGUCAGCCUUGGGUCCAGAGGCCCUUUCCUUGUGUCAACCCUGUAACUUUUACUGGCCCAGUGGGACUUAACGUAGCCUUCUGGAGGAAAGAGCAUCUUCACGUGGAUUUACCCUGGCCCGGAGGCAGAUGCAGUGACCUCGGCUCCCGUGUUGCCAGGAUCCGACCUCUCCUAGUUGAAAACAGCCUCGUGUUCCCCUGGGCCGAGGGGCAGCUCCAGAGGACUGGCUGAGUGCUCCGCGGCACUGGGACCGUUGUGAAGAUCAGAUGGGACAUUGUACGCGAAGGCAUGCUGCGGACACUACAUGCCUGGGCAAGAGCGUGGAGGCCCCAGAGUGGGUCUGAUGACACUGUUGAUGAAGAUCUUGGCUGUGACCUCUGUGGGAAAUGAGCCAUGGACCAACCAAUAUUCAACAUACUUAAUCUGAUUUACUCAUUACCAGUGAUGACGAUCUUGUCUGUCACUUCUGUGGAUAGAAAGCAACGGGACUCAUAAUGAAGACUGUGGCUGCUUCAAUCAAUCUUCUCUGAGGAAGAUCUUGGCUGUUACCUUUGUGGAACGGAUGCUCAAUGAUUCAAUUAAGGACUGUAGAAACUUUUUGGGUGUGCCAGGCUAAUUUAAGGAUCUUUCCUGGUCAGGAGCUCUAGAAUGGAUGCCUAUUAGCAGAUUUCAGCAUCUCCCAUGGUCAUGUGCUCUGCAGACUAAGAACGGACCAGUGGGGCUGGCUGGAAAGCUCUUCCACGGACGCGCUCUCUGGUUGCCUCCAUGCCUUCGGUGUAUAGAGGCCCACAAAGAGAACCCGGAAGUUCAUGGUGGCCUCACUGUAGCAGCCUUAAGCCCACUAAUCAAUGCACUCAAGCGGAUGCAUGCGUUUUCCAUGAUUUCCUUUGUGUGUUGAGAGCCUAGAGAAGAACAAUGGACGCACAGCAGUGGGUUUAAGGAUCUUCCGUGGUCUUGGGCUCUACAGACUGAUAAUGGAUGCACCUGAAUUUAUUAAGCAUUCGACUGUGAUCAGGGCCUCUGCUGGUUUUCCUGUGUAUAAAUACAUGUGGGUCAUAAUGGAUCCUACAAGCUGAUUUCAGCUUCUGCUCUGAUUGAGAUCAUCAUGUUGCCUCUGUCAGGAGGGCGACAAAGACCACUAAAUGGGUGCACCUGGACUGAACAGACCACGAUCUCGAGGCUGCCAGUUUUCCCUAAAGAUUCCUUAGUUGAUAGCAGUGUAAGCUAUUUUCAUCAUGAGGAAGAGCACACUGGAGAUAAUGAACUGAACUAAUGUAGCCCUUCUGCCAUGGCAGUGAAUGCUGUAUUAGGAGCAAAGAGACAAAUGGUGGGUUCUCAAUGCUGUUCAAGUUUCAACCAUGAUUCCUGUGAUCAAAAAAUUUAUGGCUGCAUCUAUGUGUAGGAACCAGUAACAGAUACUGGAGUGGACUUCAGCUUCUGCCACAGUGAAGAUUAUCAUAAUGACUCUGUCAGGAAAGAGACCAAGACUGGACAUACUUGAGAUGAUUUAACCAUCUUCCAUGAUCCCAAGCCCUUUGGUUGCCUCUAUACAUUCAUUAGAAGUAUGGAGGCCAGUUACUCCGCAGAAUGGAUGCCCUUGAGCUGACUUAAGCAUCUUCCACGGUCUGGAGCCCUGUGGUUGCAUCUGUAUGUUAGGACAGUGGAGAACAAUGUGAGUACUAGUCAAUGUACUUGUCUUGGAUUAAGCCGUAUUUUAAAAAGAUAUUAUUAAAAAUUAAAUAUCAUAAAAAAAUUCCAAAAAUCUUAUGUCAGAUACCAUUAAUACAAAGCAAUACGACAAUUAAUCCAUAUAUGAAGCCCUGAGAUCAGUUAAUGAAAGAGUUGAGCGUCAGCGGUAAUGAUUGUUUAGGUGGAUGUCAAAGAUACUCAAGGGUCUUACUCAUGAUUUAUUUGUGUACCUUAUGCUCACUUAAAUAAUAAUGAAUUAAUAAAUGUAGAUGUUAGUAGGGAAUAGAGCCCUUCCUGGACCAAAUGACGGGAAGCAUGGGAGUCUAUGGUAAAUACUGUGUAUCUGUAACCCUGAUUCCUCACAAAGCAAAAUCUGGUCAAUCUUUGAUUUUAAAUGACCCCAGAGAUGGAUGUUAGGAAAGCACAAACACCUUAUUUCAUUUUGGAGUUUACAAAUUUAGAUGUAUUAAUGAUAAUCAAUAAGCAAACCAUUGAAAAUGUAAAAGAGCACAUAAAAAGAAGAAAGGGAAGCAUUGUCCACUAGGAACAUAUGUGGUGAGAUAAGAAAUAUUAUUAAUAAAAUUGAAAACAUUCAUGCCAUUAAGCUAAGCACUUUGCCUUCUUACUGAAAAGGUCGUAAAGACACUGAUAUGGAAGAGUCAACAUUAUUGUUCUGGGUCAGUUUCAAGUGUUUCUUUUGUUAAGAGAAAAAAAUGCUACACUAUGAAAAAUUAAUAAAUGCCUAAAUGAGUAAAUGAAAGGUGGAAAACAAGGAUCAGUGGCAAUAAGGUCUCCAUUUUAUCAUGUCCCUGCUCUGUGCUCCUUAGAAUGGGCACUCUUAAACUGGUACAAGCAUUCUUCCACAGUCCUGAGAUCUCUGGUUUAUUCAUGUGUUAGGGCUGUCGAGGCUGUAUGAGUAGUAGAGAAAUUUUGGUCUUAGUUUCAAUGUUUUGUUUAAAGGUAUUGACUUUAUUAUUGCAAACUGUGACAUACAAUCAAUGAAAUCCAAAUAGCCCAGUGUGAAAUAUGGGAUUAAUAUGAAGCAUUAUAUGAUUAAUUCAUAUAAUGAAAACAGAAUAAUUAAAGAAAUAUUGACAUGAAAGUGGUUCUAUAUAUGAGAUUUCUAAGCUUUUUGGUGGUUCCAAUAAAACCAUUUAAAAAUUAUUACUGAAUUAUGAAUUGAGCAAUAAACAAUAUAGAAAUAAUGAAUUAAAAGAGGUAUGACAUUGAAUCGAUGAUGACUACUGGUGGAUUAUGAGUUGUGUCUGAUAAAUACAAGUCUAGAACUCUGAGGUCUAAUGCAAAAGAAAUGUCUUUUUUCUCUUACAUUUUCAUUCUUAUUUAUAAUUGAACCAAUGAAAGAAUCAAUCAAUAUGUCAAUCAAUGAAGAGAAAGUGUCCGUAUUUUAUCAUAUUCUCUCUUUAAUACUUUUCAGAAUCAAAGUUCAAGCCUUUAUUGUGAUCAGAGUUAUCACUUUCAUGUUGCUAUGGGACAGAGACCCAGGGGCGUAGUGGCCAAGAUUUCCGUCCUGGUUUGGGAAAUUGGCUGAAGUGUUUUCACUGUAAUAAGUUCAACCAAGGACUUCCCUGGUGGUCCCCUAGUUAGUAGUUAAGUUCACCUUCCAAGGCAGGGGUGCAGGGUUGAUACCUGGCUGGAGAGCUAAGAUCCCAAAUGCCUCAUGACCAAACUACCAAAACAUGAAAAGAAAAGUAAUACUGUAACAAAUUUAAUAAAGACUCUGAAAAUGGUCCGCAUCAAAAAAACUUAAAAAAAAAAAGUCAUGGUUUCUGGAUCGAUGACGAUCCAUGCCAGCGUCUGAGUCCUCAAUGACGAGUAAUACGUGUCUGGAACUCUGAGGUCCAAUAGACAUGAAAUGUGGUCUUUCUCUUCAUGGAUUUUCAUUGGUUCCUCUAUGGUGGCAGUGAUUGGAGAGAAGUUUGAGAUAUUCAAGGGUCUUUUUGCUGUUUGGGGUCAUCUUGCUUUUAUUUCAUCAGUAUUGAUGACAUGAUGAUUUAUAUGAUCCAAAUGAAUGAAUGAAAGACCUACAGCUGGGCCUUAGGGACCCAGCGAUGAACUUGGGUAGAGGACGAGGGGUGGGCAAGUAACCCAGAGUGUCUGGAAGCCUGAGGGCCAUGACAGCACAUCCCCUGUAGUCUACUUUUCUCUCUUCAUGUGGACAGAUACUGGGAAUCUAUAAAGUCAUACUCUUAGGUUGGCUUAGUGAAUUUAGAUUUCUUGUUAUCAAAAGACAGGUCCCUUGAAAGGAUAUACCUACUAGAUUGAGUAGAAAAGGUCAGUUAGUGUCUCCUCUGGACACUUGCGGUCCAGCAAGAAAUAAUGAUAAAAAUUGCCUCUGUGGAUACACAUUUAGCAACAAUGCACCUAAGAGGUCAACUGCUUGGCAAAGCGUCCUGUAGAUGUAGCACAGGAAGAGUCACUUGUAUUGUUUGUAUCCUCUCAAAUUUGAGUAUAGUUUUAUUUCUAGAAAGCAAUCUCUUUGCCUUAUGAAAUAGGUAUUAAUGCCUCAUGAUUCAGAACAUGAAAUUUGGAGUGGAAAAAUCAGUGACCCUAAAUUUUUUUUUCUCUCUCUUUUUGUUUGGUUUUCAUGGACUGGACUCUAUUCAUGAGAAUUGACACCUUUGAGCUGAAUAAACCGUCAGUAGUCCGUGGUCAUGAACCUUAUGAUUGUAGAAACCCGGAGUGAAUGCAUGGGAUCUGAUGGAGGGAUUCCUCAUGGAGCACCAACCUAGGAUGGCAUCUUUGCUGUUAGAACCAUAGAACCUAGACCCACGUGAGAAUCAUCUCAUUCCUCAUCUGUUCUAAGGAAGAGUCCCGAAGGAUGAAAACAUUUCUGAAGCGUCUUUCUGAGAUCCGACACAGAACAUAAGAUGAAUGCACUAGCGAUGAUUUAGCAUCUGUCGUGGGCACCAGACCUGCGGUUGCCUCUGAAGAAUAAGAGAAUGGAGAUUAAUAAGGGGUGUUCCUGCUGCUUCAGCCUUCACUGUGUUCAAUCAUCGGCUGCCUCUGUGUCAGGAAAGCCCUAAGAAUGAAUGCAGUAGAAGGAUUUAACAUCUUUCAUGGACGCAAGCUCUGUAGUUGCCUCUGUAUAAUAGGAUGAUGAAGAUUAAUGUGAGCAAUAGUUGUUGGUUUUUCCGGUUUGUUUUGUUAUUAAGGUGAUUCACAGUAUUAUUAGGAAUGUGGGAUAUAGUAAAGAAGGCAGCUGUAUCUCAGUGUUGCGUAUGAAUAUCAGUUCAGUCAGUUCAGUUCAGUUGCUCAGUCGUGUCUGACUCUGCGACCCCAUGGAUUAUAUGGAUUAUAUGCAGCAUGCCAGGCUGCAUAUAUCCAUAUAAUUGGAUAAUAUGAGAUUCUAUAAAUAAACAUUUAAUUAAAAAUAAAGGUGAAUGGAGUAAAACACUGUCUAAUUAUCAAAAUAUGUAGUGAGACAAGAAAUAACUAUUACUGUAUUAUGGAAACCCUGAAUUUCAGUUAAUAAUGAAUGGUGCAUGACCGAUACCACUUAGGCAAAGGAUACGGGUGAUAGGAUCUAAGUGAAAGACAUUCUUCAGGUUCUGGCACAAAGGUGAGAUCCCAGUGGUUCGUUUUUGACAGAUGUUGUGUGUGUCCUAAGUUAAGGGUGGCCUGAAUAAUAAUGUGAACGUGGAAGCUGGGAAGAGUGGGGAUUGUCUCCGCCACGUUGAUGGUCCGCUUUGCUUUAUAUUCCUCCGAGGGCGAGCAUGAGACCUGAAGGAAGGAUUCCUCAUGGGGCACCUGCUUAGGAUGACAUCUUCGCUGUUGGAACCGGAGACCCGUAAGCUCAAGGUGAUUUCAGCCUCUACUAUGAUCAAUAUCAUUUUCAGGAAAGAGCACGAGUGGAUGCAUGGGACCUGAAGGAAGGAUUCUUUCUGGAGCACCAGCCCAUGAUGGCAUCUUUGUUGUAGGAGCCAGGAGACCUAUAAUAGAAGCUCAAGGUGACUUCAGCCUCCAUGGUGAUCAAGGUCAUGAGCUUCAGAUUGCUGUGGGACAGAGAUCAGACCCUACACCCUCAAGCUGAUUUAAGCAGUGGCACCGUGGCACUGACCUCUGUGUUUGCAUCUCUGUGUUAGGAGCACAGAGACCAGUUUUUAUCUUCUCCUCCUUAGGCUUGUCACCGUGGGCUAAUGUAAGGCUUCCUCGUGGUCAUGAAUUCUGUGGUUGCAUUUGAUGUGUUAAGGGUUAGGAGAACAAAAUGCUGAAACUGAUUUUAGCCUCUGUUGUCACCAAGACUGUGAGACCAAGAACAGAUGCAUCUUCCAGCGUCAUGAGCUCUCCGGUUGCCUGUGUCUAAUAGGAAUACAGAGAUUAAUAAUGGACGUGAACUACUAAUCAUUCUCUAAUGAUCAAGACCUUCAUGGUUGAAGGGUGGAUCGACUGUAGCUCAUUAAGUUACUCUCCAACCAUGACGAGCUUUGCCUAAUGCCUCUGGGGAAGGAGCACACCAUGCCAUGAAGGACAGCAAGGUGUGCCUUUGGGGACAUCACCAGGCCUCUCCAAGUCCCAUGCCCGUCAUCUGUAAAAGGGAAGUCAAAUUUCAUUCAUUGAUUCUGCCAGCAUCUUGAAAGUGUGAAGAGCUGUGCCCUGACCGAAGCAUGUGGCCCCUGCGUGCAGCUCCCUGCCCUGUGCAGCGUGUGAGCUCCGUGUCACGUGUUCUUCUCCCGUCCCUGCCCUUGAGCCUCAGCGGUGCUGUGGGUUUUCCUUCCCGCGCAGAAUCUCCCCACUGGCCUCCUCCUCCUCACGUCUUCCCUCCCCUGGUCUCCCAGGACCUUGGUCUCCCCCAGGGACCCUCUCAGGGGUGUUGCAUCCUUCUUUUCAUCACCUGAGUCUCGCAGUUGUAGCCAGAGGCUGCCUAGCCUGGCCUCAGUUUCCCCAUCUGCAGAUUGAAGCAAGGAUGACAGCACCAAGCUCUGUCAUCCCCCUUGCGCCCACUGGGGCAAGAGAAAAUCUAUCCCAUCGCAUGGAUCCUUCCAGGCCCUUGAGCCUCACUUGUAAUUUGGGGGCCAGGUUUUAUUUUCUUUUCCUGCAGAUCUAAGGCAUCUCCCAGCUCGUGUGUUUUUUCAACAUGAUACAGUGAGCGUCCGUUAGCUUGGCGGGGUCUGGGCCGCGUCCCCGGCAGACGGCCCCGGUGUCAGCGUGAGCUGCUGGCAGCUGCCCGGAGGGGAGGAAGGUGGGCCCGCUUAGAUGUGUCCCAGCUGUGGCCCCGACUGUCCCCUCACUUCUGCUGAGAGGGGAGUGGGGAGGUGCUCUGGGCACGGAGCCUGGUGUCUGCUGUUCCACCUGUGGGAUCGGAGGCUAUAUCUCCAUUCAUGCCAGGGUUUGGGUCCUGAGAGCAUCACAGCACGGUUUGCGGUUUGCGUGUCAGGAUGAAAGAACUGAACCAGUGCUCUUGGCCAGGUCCACCAGUUUGGUAACUUUGGUUACCUGCAGAGAAGGGUUAUAAAAACCCUGCAGAGAAGCGUCUAGAAAAUGCUCCUCCUGCUCCUAAUAGUUGCCCCAAACAGCUCGUUUCAAAAUACAAGGAUCACAGGGCCCUGCCCAUCAGGGGAGCUGAUGCAGGGCCACCCUGGGUCUGCCUGAGCUCGCCCCCUGCCCCAGAGCCCACUUGGUGCUCACUUGCCCCCAAGCCCUGGCUGCCAGGACCUCUGGGAGAAGAUCAGUUGGGUCUGGUCUGCUGUUGAGACCAGCCCAUUUCCUUCCCAGCAGGGAGAGCCAGGCUGAGCCUGGUCCCCAGGUCAGGAACGGCGAGGCGAGAACUGAUCAGGGUGAGAGGUGGAGAGCCGGAGCACAGCUCCCAAAUCCAGGAUUGGGGGGUGCCCACCUCCAGCAGCAGGGCUGCAGGGGGGCCCUGUGACCCCGGGGCUGCACAGAGUGGCCACCUCUGGGUUGACACUCUGGUGGGUUUAUGAAUGAGCAGUACCUUCUUAAAAUGUCGCCUAAAGGGGAUAAACUGAAAGAGCCGUCUGUGGACCAGUGAUGGCUGGUAUUGGGAUUGAAGACUGUCAUCAGUCCAGUUCCGUGUAUCCCUGGAUAUAAGGAUGAUGGCAGUGAUGCUAAUACUAGUGCUGCCUUGAUGGGUGGAAGGCUGAGGGCGCUGAUCGGCUCAGCCAGUCACAUGGGCCCCCGUGUUUAUCUUGAGGAACAUCCAGGCUGGCUGAAACUCUCCAUCCUCCCCUCUGCCGUGGCCCAGCCUGAGUUUCUCGUCCUUCGCCCAUUCGCACCUAGACCCGUGCAGCACCCCUGAGUUCCAUGCCAUGGCUGUUCGUUUCUCGUUGGAUUAGAAGCAUCCCAAAGGUGGGAGCGGCUCUGCUCCAGCUCCGUGUCCCCAGGGCUGGCCUCGCCAUUCCCAACAGCCCUGCUGGGGCUGGACACUGCGGUUGUGGUUAGACAUGCGCUCACACAGUUGGACUUGGUUUUGUGACUCAGCCCUCUUGUCUUGGAAGGUUGUUUACACGGAGCCCGUGGAGGUGUGGUUGGUGGAGCACAGGACUUCCCCUGGGUGAUUCCGAUGGGUGUAUCCCUUCCUUCGCUGGGUGAGUUCUGCUUUUCUGGGUUACACUCUAAGAGGCACGUGUGCCGGUGACUAAGCGUCAGGCAUGGUCUAGGAAAGAUAAAGCCGGAGGGGAUCCUAGGAGAGCUGGGGCACACAUGCAGGUCCCAGAGGGCAGGUAGCGGUGGGGCCAUUUCUGGCAGCUGCUUCUCUGAGUGGAGGGUGAAGCCAUUCAGAAGUUACCCAGGGCAAAGAGGUGAGGUCAGCUGGGGCCCGACUCCAGACACCUGGCCUUCAUCCCUGGUCCGAUCCAACUGGUCACUUUGCAGCUGACUGGACACCAGAGUCCUUUUUAGGACUCAGGGUUACCUUCACACCCUUGCCCCACACUGAAAUCUCUUUUACAAAUUAUGCAGAUAAUUUCAUUUCUGUAGUAGAGAAUGAAGAAGGGGGAGUCAUGUGAGUUUUUCCUAGAAAAGAUACUAAGCUGAUAACUAAAACUUAUUACAUGUAAUAAUUCUAGAAAAAGAAACACAUUUAUUGCAAAACACUGAACAGAACAAGAGGAAGAACAGGACUCACCCUAGUCUCACCACUCAAAGAUGACCACUGCCAACACUUUGAAGACCAGCUUCUGGUCUUUUGGUUUCACUUGUAAAUUGCAAAAGUGAGUGUGUGUGUGUAUGUGUAUACAUAUGUACACACAUUUUUAAUUGGGUUCAUCAUAGCCAUCCUAAUUUUUCACCUAAGUAGACAUCCUAAACAUGUCCCAUGCCAUUAAGUAAUUUCCUAUCUUAUGAUUUUUUUUUUACCUAGUAUCCUGGCAAAUGACUAUAUCAUAAUUGAUUUAAUUGACGCACGCUUGUCAGAUAUUUACAUGAUUUUUAAAAGUUGGAUGAUAGAAGUUGGAGUGAGCAGCUUUGUUUUUCCAUCUUCACGUAUGUCUCUUAUUUGUACUCGUAAGAGUGGAGUGGCCAUGUCAAAAGGUGCGAGCAUUUUAUGGCCAAAUUGUCCCCCUUGAACUUUGUACCAAUUUACAUUCUCAGAAUUAGUUUAACAAGUGACUUUCUCUGGGAAUUAUCAAGGUUUUAAACAUCAAUUUGCCAAAUUUCAUUCUUCUCAUUUUCAGUUCUUUUAUUAUCUGUGAUAAGAGCAUUUCCCCAUAUCUUUAUUGGUUCUCUAUAGCUGAAUUGCCAGUUCAGUUUCUUUGCUUUAUUCAGCUUUCAUUAAGUUUUCUUUUUGUCAAAGUCAUGCAUAUGCUUCAUUUUAAGAGUCAAAUAGCUUUACAAGAUUAUGUAGAAGCAUCCUUCUCCACUCCAAUUCCAUAUCCACCUAAGCUACAGCUUUUUACUCUUUUAAAUCGUUCUUUUGACAUUUACAACAAUUUUUCUAAGUAACAUUCUGAUUUUUCUAGUUCUCAAAAAAAAAAUUUUUUUUUUGACUUAGGCAUUACCUUGACUUUUCAACCACAGAAAAUGAAGAUUGAAAUCUUUCACCUUUGGCCUCAACACACACAAGAAUACCUGUCUGUCCCCUUCUUUUAAUUUAUUUAGCUCAGUUUUGGUUUGAUCAGUAUUCCGUCUUUAUGUAUUACAACACUGUAAAUACUUGAGAGUUCAGCAACAGCACUGUGAUUUUUUACUUUUCCUUGCAACUUCUGUUUUCUCUGGAGUCGAUAAUUUUUUGGUUUUGUCUUUCUUUUUUCCUUCUCUCUUUGGUUGGUUAUUAAUGAACUUAUCCCAAAUUCAUCUCCAGCCUUUCAUGACAUCCAAACACGUUAGUGUUUUUCGUUUUAUCUAAUGUGUUUAUCUUUUUGAAGACCUCUCUUCCUGGAGCCUCCUUCCCUCUUUUGUUCAGGAUGGGUUCGUCUUUGGGCUUUCUGCCCUUACCGUGGAAUCACUUCCUCAUUUCUUCCUGGGAAUUCUCCUUGGUCGGAUCCCUAGUUUUGUAAAUCCUGUGUUAUUCUCAUUUUUUGUUCACUCGCUUGUUUAGCUAGAGUGCAUCCUCUAGCAGUUUCCUGGGAAAGGGUUCAUGGGAGGUACAUUUUUGGAGAUCUUUCACAUAAGAAAAGGGUGACGUCUAGUCCACACUGGUGGUGAUAGUUUAGCUUGGUACAGAAUUCUCGUUGGUACCUUUUUUCCCCUUCAGAUUUGAAAAGCGUAAAUAGCUGUCUUCUGGCUUCCCGUGAUACUGAUCGGAAGUCUGAAGACUUCUGACUCCCAUCCCUUGUAUGUGAUCUUCCGUUACCCUCCCUUUCCGGAACUUCUGGCCUUUUCUCACUGUGUUGUAAGUUUCAUGUGUGUAUAUUUCGAUGUGGUCUACAUUCAUCCGUUUGGCCAGGCCCUUUUGAUCUGAAAGCGUAUGUCUUUCAGUUGUGGACGUCUCUUGUUCAGUUCCUUGGACAAUGGCCUCUCAUCUGUUUUCUCUUGAACUUAUAUUGUUUGUAUGUAGGAUCUCUUUGACAGGUUCUCUGCUUUUCACGUAUUUUUCCUCUGAUUUUUGUAUCUCAAUCUCUUUGUUCUCUUACUGAGCAAUUACUCUGUCUUCAUCUUUUAAUCUAUUUUCAUUUCUGCAGUCUCUGAUUUUCAAGAAUUUUUUAUUACACUCUAAAUAUUGUUUUAUUGAAUUUUGUUUCAUGGAUGCAAUCGCUUCUUUGACAUUUCUAAAAAUAUUAAUAUUAGUUUUUUGAAAUUGUCUUUCUCUGAAAGAAUCUUCAAACUUUUUUUUUUUUCCUGUUUUUUCCUUCCAAGUGUGUGUCAUUGUCUAACUUUCAUUUUAGGUUCUUUUCUCAACUCUCUGGUUGUAUAGAUAGAUAUAUAGAUAUAGAUGAUAUUGAUAGAUAUAUAUAUAUACAAUGCACACAUCCAGAUAAACUACAGAACUAUUUGGAAGCUCUCAGUACGUGGUUGGGUCUUGUAAACUAUGGAGUUUACUGUAGAGAGAGCUAACUGGUCUUUGUAUUGUGGAACCCCAGGUUUUAGCAUUUUUAUGUCUUUUUCUUUUAGAUUGAUUGGAUGAUCCAAAGAGUUUCUGAUCUAGAAUUUUACUAAUUGCUGGUGCUCUGUGAGGUUUGUGAAGGAAGACUGAGUGGUCUGAACAUCCAGCUUGAAGAGUUUGCCUUCUUUCUCUUUUGAUGUAGGGCUCUGGCCCUCAGCUGUGCAUGCAUCUCUGCUCCAGUCACCUCUGCUUGCUCUCUGCAUGUAAUGCCUUUUCAGUCUUCUCUCCAGGUUAGGGAAGGCUUUGCCUAACAGGUGAAGACUGGGGGCUCUGUCUUCUUCUUUAACAGACUUUUAGCCAAUUGAUCUUAUUUAGGCCCAGGCUUUCCUGGAGGUUCCUGAGACUUCUGUGGGUUCUCUUGACUGCACUGGCCUUUAUUUCAGCUCUCCUCACUGCCAGUCCAGGGUUCCCAGCUCUGAAUCAAUUCCAAAUCUCCUGUUGUCUUGUGUUUGUCCUCUGUACUCAUGCUCAAGAUCAAAAUCUCUGCACUUUCAUUUAGCGCAGUUUCAAGAGCAAAGGCUGGUGGAUAUAGCAUAUAGAUACAUGCUAUUCACUAUGCUGAACUGAAAGUCAUUUACCCAUCUCUCUCUACUGCUGUAUCUUUUGUUUUUAUUUUAUUAAUACCUUUCAAAGUAAGAAUAGUAACUGUUUUUCCAUCCUAUGUUACCAAUAUCCUGCCCCCGCCCCCAUUUUUCAUUUACCAUUCCAUUUUGUUCAUGGAGCAUUUAACUUUUUAUUUACAAUUUUUAUUUUCUAAAAAAUCUAUCACUAAUUUUUUCUUAUAGUUACUUCUUACUUAGAAAGACAUUUCCUACCCCAAGCUUAUAUGUUUAGUCACAUUUUUUUUUCUAGUUCCUUCAUGAUUUCUUCUCUAUAUUGAAUCUUUACUCCUUUAAUUGAAUUAUUGUAGGAAACGACUUUUUGCUCCAUUUCCACAUGCUACAUGUUAGAUAGUUUUUGUUCCUCAUUGUGGCUUUCUAUUUAACAUUAAUCUGUCUAUUCUUAUCCUAGUAUUGCUGUUUUAAUAGAUCAUAUUGUUAAAAUUUGUAUUAUUAUUUGAUAGAAAUAGUCUUCCUUCAUUCUUAUUUUUCAAGAUUUUCUUGAUUAGUCUCACUUGUUAUUUUUCCAGGUGAAUUUUAGUGAUAUAGUGAAGUUAAAAACAUUCCUUAUAGAUUUUCUGUGAAAUUUUAUAAAAUUAUAAAGAGAAUUGGUAUGUUUUGACACUUGGGCUUUACAUCUUUUAUAGUUUAUAAUAUAUAGUCACAAUUCAUCAAAUUUGACGAAUUCACAAUUUGUUAUUGAGUUUAUUUCAAGGAACUACGUAUUGCUUCUGUUGUGAAUUUUUCUUGUAUUUUCUAACUGGUUAUUACUGGUAUGUAGGGAAGAGAUUAUGUAUCUAUUAUUAUUGUCUAUCUCAUUAAAUUUUCUCAUAUGUUCUACAAGUUUUCAGUUGAAUGUUUUGGAAUUUCUAGGUAAAGUGUCAUAUACAAUUAUAGAAAAUUUUGAAAAUAUUUUAUCUCUUUUACUUUUCUUUCUUGUCUUAUAGUAUUGUCUGGAUCUUCCAAAACAUUAAAUUGUUGAUAACAAAUCUUUGUCUCAUUUCUGGUUCAUGUUAAUUAUGAUAACAGGUACUUUUUAAGGCUGUAUGUUUUUUAUAAUGCUAAUUAAGUAUCUACUUCAUGUAUGAUUAAAAUCAGGAAUGGAUUAGAAUUUCCUGAAAUACUUUUUUGAUAUCUGUAGAGAUACUUGUGUUGUUUUUCUCCAUUGAUCUAUUGAUGAAAUGAAUUAUAAUAAUGUUUCAUAACUUUGAAACAUUUUUGGGUCAAAUUCUACCUGGUUUUCGUUUAUUGUUCUUUUAAUAUACUUCAUGAUUUGGUCUGCUAGUAUUUGGAAUUAAAGUUUUGGUCAUUUGAUAUCAAAGUUAUGCUAGCUUUGUAAAAUGAAUUAGGGAGCGUUCCAUCUUUUUCUGUGUUCUGUACCAUAUGUACAUCAUUUAAAUGAUCUAUUUCAUGGAAAACUUGAAAAAACAUAGCUAUAUAACUCUCCUGGGAUAAUUCUGGCAACCUUUUCUAUUUCUUCUGUAUUUAUUGGAUACUUUAGAUUUCCUAAAUCUUUAGAUUGUUUGCUUCUUUUUCUCAUAUAGCUUAGUGUUUACGUGUGCAGGCACUGGAAUCAGACAACUUGGGUUCAAAUUCUUGCUCUCUCAUUUCUCAUGUGACCUCAGGAAAACUAUGUCUUCUCCCUAAUUCUUAUUUUGUGCACUUGUUAAAUGGAUAACAAGACGGCCGCUGUGAGAAUUAAAGAGAUAAAGUGUCUUGCCUUGAGUCUGGCACAUAGUGAGUGCGCUGUGAUUCUUUUAAAGCCAAUAUUAAUCCUAGGAAAUAAUCUAUGUUUUGAGAUGUAAAUACUUCUUAGUAUAGAAUUGUAAGUACUAUUUGUAUAAUAAAAUUUAUUUCUAUGUCGUCUUUAUCAUUCUUAAUUUUGGACGUGUAUUAGAUGAGCUACAGGAGUGUCUAUUUUGAGAUUUUUCAGGAAUCAGUUCUUGGAAUAAGUUGUCAAUUUAACUUUUUUGUGUGUGUGUUCAAAUUCACCAAUAUCUGCUUUUAUCCUUAUGGACUCCUGCCUUCUGGUUUCCUUAUUUUGUGGACCUGUUCAUAUGUCCUUUCUGUUAUUCUUCUUUAAUAAUGAAAGCAUUUCAUAAUAUGAAUUUGCCUCUAGUUGCAAUUUUGACUGCAUGUGAUGAGUUUUAAUAUGUAGUCUUUUCAAAAUUUUAAACUCUUUGUAAUUAUGCUUUCAAUUUCUUGUAAUUAAUGCUUUUCAUUUCUUCUUGUUCUUAGAAGAAAUGAUUAUCUGAAUAAAAUGUGCAAAAAUGGAACUUACUUUUUAAA